UGAUGAUCCACAUCCUGACACCUCUUGUCUGCCGCGCACUUGGGCCCUGA
rnacentral:sRNA from 1 species